UCCAGACUCCUACGGGAGGCAGCAGUGGGGGAUAUUGCACAAUGGGGGGAACCCUGAUGCAGCGACGCCGCGUGGGUGAAGGAGCGUUUCGGCGCGUAAAGCCCUAUCGGCAGGGAAGAAGGAGGACGGUACCUGACUAAGAAGCCCCGGCUAACUACGUGCCAGCAGCCGCGGUAAUACGUAGGGGGCAAGCGUUAUCCGGAUUUACUGGGUGUAAAGGGGGCGCAGACGGCAGCGCAAGCCAGGAGUGAAAGCCCGGGGCCCAACCCCGGGACUGCUCUUGGAACUGCGCGGCUGGAGUGCAGGAGGGGCAGGCGGAAUUCCUGGUGUAGCGGUGAAAUGCGUAGAUAUCAGGCGGAACGCCGGUGGCGAAGGCGGCCUGCUGGACUGCGACUGACGUUGAGGCCCGAGAGCGUGGGGAGCAAACAGGAUUAGAGACCCUCGUAC
rnacentral:rRNA from 1 species